GAUGAACGCUGGCGGCGUGCCUAAUACAUGCAAGUCGAGCGAACGGACGAGAAGCUUGCUUCUCUGAUGUUAGCGGCGGACGGGUGAGUAACACGUGGAUAACCUACCUAUAAGACUGGGAUAACUUCGGGAAACCGGAGCUAAUACCGGAUAAUAUUUUGAACCGCAUGGUUCAAAAGUGAAAGACGGUCUUGCUGUCACUUAUAGAUGGAUCCGAGCUGCAUUAGCUAGUUGGUAAGGUAACGGCUUACCAAGGCAACGAUGCAUAGCCGACCUGAGAGGGUGAUCGGCCACACUGGAACUGAGACACGGUCCAGACUCCUACGGGAGGCAGCAGUAGGGAAUCUUCCGCAAUGGGCGAAAGCCUGACGGAGCAACGCCGCGUGAGUGAUGAAGGUCUUCGGAUCGUAAAACUCUGUUAUUAGGGAAGAACAUAUGUGUAAGUAACUGUGCACAUCUUGACGGUACCUAAUCAGAAAGCCACGGCUAACCACGUG
rnacentral:rRNA from 1 species